GGCCGACUAGCUCAGUUGGUUAGAGCGUGUGUUAAUACUUGAUAACGCGAAGGUCUUGGGUUCGACCCCCACGUUGGCCA